rnacentral:rRNA from 1 species
CCAGACUCCUACGGGAGGCAGCAGUGGGGAAUAUUGCACAAUGGGGGAAACCCUGAUGCAGCGACGCCGCGUGAGUGAAGAAGUAUUUCGGUAUGUAAAGCUCUAUCAGCAGGGAAGAAAAUGACGGUACCUGACUAAGAAGCCCCGGCUAACUACGUGCCAGCAGCCGCGGUAAUACGUAGGGGGCAAGCGUUAUCCGGAUUUACUGGGUGUAAAGGGAGCGUAGACGGCAUGGCAAGUCAGAUGUGAAAGCCCGGGGCUCAACCCCGGGACUGCAUUUGAAACUGUCAGGCUGGAGUGCAGGAGAGGUAAGUGGAAUUCCUAGUGUAGCGGUGAAAUGCGUAGAUAUUAGGAGGAACACCAGUGGCGAAGGCGGCCUGCUGGACGACAACUGACGGUGAGGCGCGAAAGCGUGGGGAGCAAACAGGAUUAGAUACCCGGGUAC